AUUGAACGCUGGCGGCAUGCUUUACACAUGCAAGUCGAACGGUAACAGACCGCAAGGUGCUGACGAGUGGCGAACGGGUGAGUAAUGCAUCGGAACGUGCCCAGUCGUGGGGGAUAACUGCUCGAAAGAGCAGCUAAUACCGCAUACGAUCUAUGGAUGAAAGCGGGGGACCGGAAGGCCUCGCGCGAUUGGAGCGGCCGAUGUCAGAUUAGGUAGUUGGUGGGGUAAGGGCUCACCAAGCCAACGAUCUGUAGCUGGGCUUAGAGGACGACCAGCCACACUGGGACUGAGACACGGCCCAGACUCCUACGGGAGGCAGCAGUGGGGAAUUUUGGACAAUGGGCGCAAGACUGAUCCAGCAAUGCCGCGUGAAGGAAGAAGGCCUUCGGGUUGUAAACUGCUUUUGUACGGAACGAAAAGGCUCUGGUUAAUACCUGGGGCACAUGACGGUACCGUAAGAAUAAGCACCGGCUAACUACGUGCCAGCAGCCGCAGUAACAC
rnacentral:rRNA from 1 species